ensembl:lncRNA
CCUCACGAGACCGGGGUCAACCACGGCUACCAGCAUGAACGACGGCGCUUCAGACCUUUGUAGCGAGGACCCGAUGCCAGGUCCAGUGGACAGACUUCAGACGUCUCUGUGUGUCCGGUCCUGUCCGGUCCUGUCUCUGGUUGCCUGGUUACAGACGCUGCUGCACCCGCACGUUUAAAAAUGUCUACACCUGAAACUCCACCACGUCUAAAGAAGCAAAAACGUUUGCAAAUGUACAGACUGGAGUGGGAAGAGUGGAACCCCUGGCAAUGGGUACAAGGCAAACUGUGUUUUCUGUUGCUCAUGGACUGGCUGAAGUAAGGCAGCAUCAGGAGACAAACAUGGAGGAAAUAUGAGAACAGAGAGAACCCAACCAGCAGGUCACAGUUUAUCAUCAUCUAAUCAUCUCCUGAAGUCGAUAUGACCAAAGAACUACAGACUCUUCAC